rnacentral:misc_RNA from 1 species
GAUUAAGAACGCAGCGAAAUGCGAUACUUGGUGUGAAUUGCAGAAUCCCGUGAACCAUCGAGUCUUUGAACGCAAGUUGCGCCCGAAGCCAUUAGGCCGAGGGCACGCCUGCCUGGGCGUCACACGUCGUUGCCCCCCCAUCUACUCCUUCGGGAUUGCGGGGGGCGGAUGAUGGCCUCCCGUGCGCCUCGUCGCGCGGUUGGCAUAAAUGCCAAGUCCUCGGCGACGCACGCCACGACAAUCGGUGGUUGCGAAACCUCGGUUGCCCGUCGUGUGCGGUCGUCGCGCAUCGAGGGCUCGAAAAAAUUGUCGGGCUCCGGCUCGGCUUUCAACGCGACCCCAGGUCAGGCGGGGUUACCCGCUGAAUUUAAGCAUAUCAAUAAGCGGAGGA